AACGAACGCUGGCGGCAUGCCUAACACAUGCAAGUUGAGCGAGAACCAAGGGGCUUGCUCCUUGGGGACAGCAGCGCACGGGUGAGUAACGCGUGGGUAACGUACCCUAGGGUUGGGGAUAACUCACCGAAAGGUGAGCUAAUACCGGAUGUGUUCCUAUUAGAUGCGUCUUUUAGGAAGAAAGCGGGGCAACCCGCGCCCCUGGAUCGGCCCGCGUUCCAUCAGUUUGUUGGUGGGGUAAUGGCCUACCAAGACUACGACGGAUAGCUGGUCUGAGAGGAUGAUCAGCCACACUGGGACUGAGACACGGCCCAGACUCCUACGGGAGGCAGCAGUGGGGAAUAUUGGACAAUGGGCGAAAGCCUGAUCCAGCAAUGCCGCGUGAGUGAUGAAGGCCUUAGGGUUGUAAAGCUCUUUUACCCGAGAUGAUAAUGACAGUAUCGGGAGAAUAAGCUCCGGCUAACUCCGU
rnacentral:rRNA from 1 species